rnacentral:rRNA from 1 species
CCCUUAGAUGUUCUGGGCCGCACGCGCGCUACACUGAUGCAUUCAACAAGCCUAGCCUUGACCGAGAGGUCCGGGUAAUCUUUGAAACUGCAUCGUGAUGGGGCUAGAUUAUUGCAAUUAUUAAUCUUCAACGAGGAAUGCCUAGUAAGCGUGAUUCAUCAAAUCGCGUUGAUUACGUCCCUGCCCUUUGUACACACCGCCCGUCGCUCCUACCGAUUGAAUGUGUUGGUGAGGAGCUCGGAUUGGCAGCAGUUGGUGGUUCGCCACCGGCUAUUGCUGAGAAGUCCUCCAAACCGCCCCAGUUAGAGGAAGGAGAAGUCGUAACA